UACGGGGGGGAGCAAGCGUUGUUCGGAUUUACUGGGCGUAAAGGGCGCGUAGGCGGUCGUGACAAGUCACUUGUGAAAUCUCCGGGCUUAACUCGGAACGGUCAAGUGAUACUGUCGGACUAGAGUACAGAAGGGGCAACUGGAAUUCUCGGUGUAGCGGUGAAAUGCGUAGAUAUCGAGAGGAACACCUGCGGCGAAGGCGGGUUGCUGGGCUGAUACUGACGCUGAGGCGCGAAAGCGUGGGGGAGCAAACAGG
rnacentral:rRNA from 1 species